rnacentral:rRNA from 1 species
UACGAAGGGGGCGAGCGUUGUUCGGAUUUACUGGGCGUAAAGGGCGCGCAGGCGGCUCAUUUUGUCAGGCGUGAAAGCCCCGGGCUUAACCUGGGAACUGCGCUUGAGACGGGUGGGCUAGAGAUCGGGAGAGGAGAGUGGAAUUCCCAGUGUAGAGGUGAAAUUCGUAGAUAUUGGAAGGAACAUCAGUGGCGAAAGCGGCUUCCUGGACCAGUACCGACGUUCAGGCACGAAAGCGUGGGGAGCAAACAGG